GAGAGAUGAAGAACACUUUCGAAAAUCCGGAUUAGCCGCCAUCCAUUGGUUUGUAGCCUUUUUUGAUUAAAACGAGAAUACAGAGAAACA
ensembl:ncRNA T14G10.9 ncRNA